GGAGGGAUGGCCGAGUGGACGAAGGCGGCGGUCUUGAAAACCGCUGUGGGGCAACCCACCGGGGGUUCGAAUCCCUCUCCCUCCG
rnacentral:tRNA from 2 species